GCUCUGGCGCUUAUGUCGGCGACCUUGGGCGGCGAGGGUCCCAGUGGAGAAUCUUGGCCGUAGGGAAGUCACCUCUGGUGUCUCUCCCCGCGGUAGCACCUCGCCCAGAACCCUGAAUAUUUUCGACCGGGAUUUGAAAAGGAAACAGAAGAACUGGGCAGCCCGGCAGCCCGAGCCGACCAAGUUUGACUACCUGAAGGAGGAGGUUGGAAGUCGGAUCGCAGACCGUGUAUAUGACAUACCCAGAAAUUUCCCCCUUGCUUUGGAUCUUGGUUGUGGAAGAGGUUACAUUGCACAAUAUUUGAAUAAGGAAACUAUUGGAAAGUUUUUCCAAGCCGACAUUGCAGAAAAUGCUUUGAAAAAUUCCUCAGAAACAGAAAUACCUACUGUCAGCGUUUUAGCUGAUGAAGAAUUCCUUCCCUUCAAAGAAAAUACAUUUGACCUGGUGGUUAGCAGUUUAAGUUUGCAUUGGGUGAAUGACCUUCCUAGAGCACUUGAGCAGGACACUGAUGAAAUUCAAGUUAACUAUCCUGGAAUGUUUGAAUUGAUGGA
rnacentral:sRNA from 1 species